rnacentral:sRNA from 1 species
UAUUCUGCCCCAUGGGGAAGGAUGAGAAGCUUCGACUAAGGUUCGACUCGAGCGAAGCGAGAGAACGUUACCGCAGGCAACGGCCCGAAGGGCGAGGCGCUUUAGCGCCGAGUAAUCCUUCCCCCACCACCA